GUGAUUUCUAUGUAUUCUCAACAAAAAUACUCUGCUAGUGAUGUAGCUCUAAUCAAUGGAGGAACACCAGGUUCUUGACUCGCACGAUUUAGAUAAAACAACAUGGACACACGUGGAGUGGUUUUAAGGAGUGGAGUUUAAUAAGCAAGAAAGAAAAGAGAAGGCAAAAGGAAGAGGCUCCCCCAUACAGAAACAGAGGGAGGGGGGCUCCAAAGCUAAAAGAGGAGACUCCAUAUCCCACAGAUACCAGCCAGGAAGACAUGAGACAUUCAAUCAACAUAUGUAAAAUGAACACUGGUUUGGUCUGGAAAAGCGGAACAACUCAAAGCAAAAGGGAGACAACUCAAAGCAAGAGGGGGCUUCCAGGUCACAGGGUCUCACUCUGUCAUCCAGGCUGGAGUGCAAUGGUGUAAUCUUGGCUCACUGCAGCCUUGAUCUCCUGGAUUCAAGCAAUCCUCUCCCGCUUAGCCUCCCAAGUAGCUGGGACUACAGAUUCAUGCUUGUUUUUAAUUAAGAAACCACCUCUAAGAGCUAUGUGAAUAAGAACUCCAGGUUUCUUUCUCAAAGAAAGCACAGACAGAGAAAGAAUUAUGGUUAGAGAAUGGGAGAGGAGAAAGUAAAUGAAAAAUAAAAAAUAUGGGAAUGUCCUUGCAUCAACAGAAAUUUCCUCUGAAGUCAACUCUGCUGAAAAUAUAAUAUACCUGUUCUCCAGGAAAGAAAACAACAAUAUAUUUUCUGAUUAUUCAAGAAAUGACAUGGGAUCUCGAAAAGCACUAAUUUCUAGGCGCAUCUAUCCUGAGAUUUGAAACUUGCUUCAUAAAGUUCAAGAUCUCAAAUUUUGUGUAGUUGA
rnacentral:lncRNA from 1 species